CAGAAUGCGGAAGUAUGUUGCUACCGGUAACUCCGCCCACCCCAAUGGCGUAAACAACUAAACAACAUCAAAAAUUUGCUGAGGGGAGUGGACGUUUAUAAUCAGAUAUCAUAUCAAACCAUAAAAUGCAUCAAGUCUGGUGAAUUAUCAUGGCAAUCAUGAUGAGAUGAAGCUCAAGAUGCUCUUUGGAUCACCUGAACUUUUGGACCCGAACACAUAUUAUCACAUGAAAUUGAGGCAGCCACAUGGAACCGGCAGCCCUCGGGCAAGGGCCCUCUGUGUCUUUGUCUGCCUCUCGUUCUAAAGUGGACUCCUCAAGCCUUAAACCAGAGGGAUGGCCUCUUCCUCAGGUUAUGGGUGACAUAUGCCUAAUCUACCAUAGAGGAACAUCUGCACUCGCUGCCUCAGUACAGGUGUAGGUGCUUCUCAAAUGACUGAACCAAUGAGGCGUCCACUGCAGCAAUGCAUUAUGGUCACUAAAGCACUGGAUAUACUAAAUAGAAUCACUUUGCAUUAGUGAGUGCCCACUUAAGACACAAGAGCCAAGCUGUUUUUAAAGUUAAGGUGUGUUUUUUUUAAAUGGAAGUGUUUGAAACCUAAUUGAACAAUGAAGUGGUUUGGAUUGGUGUUUGUUUGUGAUAAAGUAAAAUGUAAUUUAUUUCUGUGAUGCAAA